CCACUCUCCUGGGCCUGAUGACCUGCCUCCCAGUUCCCAGAGAAGACCUGCUGCUGCCACCUUCCCUGCCGUCAAGGUCGUUACCUCCCGCACGCACACGGCUCUCCCCCUCCCCGGGGGCUUCCCUCCUCGGCCUUCCUCUGGCCACUCUGCAUUUCCAGCUUCCCUCUCUCCACUGGCUCUUUUCUGCCACUCGCGAUGUUCAGGUUUGCGACAGCUCGCGUCUCUCUUCACGUGGCUUUGCUUCUCUGUCUGCGCUCGGCGCCCUGCGUCUUGGCUCCCGGGAGCCACCGCCCUCACACCUUCCUGCCCUCCCUGCCACACUCUGCAUUCUCGGCUGGUCCUUCAUCCUUGCUCUGGUGGCCCACACUCCCGGCUUCUUGGGCUUCUUCCCCGGCCUCCCCGCUGCUCUCUGCUCUUGGGCUGCUCUUGCGCUGCGUUGCCCCUAAGGCUUCUGUGCUUAGCCUUCGUCUUCUCCCCAGAUCUGCGUUCCGAGCAAACUCCCCCAAAGCAGUGUUUUUUGCUGCUCCUGCUAACACGCUCUGAGUUUCCUUUCCGGGCGCCUCUGCUGUGCUUCGGAACCUCAUAGCAAGAAGCACACCGGACGUCUCCACUGCACGCCCAAUCGACCCCUUAAAUCCGGCAUUUCCGGAGCUGACCGUGUUGACCCCAACCUCAGAGGCUCCCAGACUUUCUCUGGAGUUGAAGAGCCUCGCUGUCUAGCCGGCCACUCAGCGUGGAAACGUGGUGGCCGUUCUAGGGGAUUCCCUCUCCCUCUCCAUCCACGCCACGUCACGAAGUCCUGCGUGUUGUAUCUUUGUAAUAGCUCUCUGUCGCCUCCCCUCCCUAUCCGCUGCUUUUGGGCGGGGUGGGGGUGGGGGGAGGCUCCUUAUUCUCACUUGGAUCUCCCAUUCUCCCUCCGGUCUCUUCAUUCUCAAGUCCUCAGUUUCCCUGCGCACCGGUGUGUCUUCCCUCCCCAGCCCUCCACGCACCUUCCACACUGUUGCCGGGAAGAUCCUUCCAAAGAAAAUAAUUGUAACACUGCUAGCUUACGUGUGUUUGGGUGCUUACCAUCUGCCAGGCCUUUUCCCAAGUGCUAGUCUUGUGUUGACUCAUUUAAUACCAAAAUCAGUGCUGUAUUAUCCCCUUUUACAGGUGAGAAAACAGAGGCCCAGAGAGCUUCAGUUAAGUUGUCCCCAGUCACAGAACCAGCAAGCCUGUCUGCAGAGUCUACACCCUCAGCCACUUAACGUCAUAACAACAAAAACCACAUUUUGAGCUUUCUAGGAAUUAGCUCGUUGCGUGUAUCAUCUCUUUUAAUCCACUCAGUUCUGGAAGUUGGAAAUUCUUAACGUCUCCACUUUUCGGACGAGGAAACAGGGGCACGGAGACAUGAAGAUAUAGGACUCCCCCAAAUGGACAUCGUCGGGAAUAGCACUCAUAAAACAGGCCAUUACACAGUCAGAGCAGCGUCCUUCCUGUUCCUGCAAGCCUCCCGUCCUAUUAAGGUUUCUCAUCUCCAGAAUGGGUAUGGUGAUAGCAUCGAUGGCUUAGUUAUCUUGAGGAUUCAGUGAGUCCACACGUGCAAAGCACUCGGAACACAGAGGCGAAGAACGGGAUCUCGGGAGCAAAACUGCCCAGACUCAGCGCCCUCCCGUGAAACCUGGAGCAGGUCACAUCACUUUUCAGUGCCUCCGUUUCCUCCUACCUAACGAGGUAACGAUACUUACCCCCUGGAUGUUACCGCCAAUGUCAAGGGGAUUAACUCUUACGAAGCACCUGGACCAGUGCCAAGCACAUAGUAUGAGCUCAGUACACGUUAGUUAGCUGUGAUGGUGGUGACGACAGCCCUCUCCUCUCGGAGGCCAUGUGCCUCACUCACUGCGCUGGAGCAUUAAUUGCUUACUUUCCUUGACAGCCCUUGCGCCCAGUCAGCGCAGGGGCCGUGACUCUUACUCGCGAUGGCUCAUGGAAGGGACUCCAACACAUAUUUGCUCAGUGACUAACUGAAUGAAAAGGUUAGUGGCAAAGUAUGCAUGACAGCCUGUGGGGUCGAGUGCAGCGAUGGGCCGUACUGUUCCACUCAGGCACCAUUUCAUCAUUCUGAAUAUCCUUUGGAGGAAAAGCCUCUUUUUAAGGGUAAAAAAAAAAAAAAACUCGCGUUCUGUUUUGAGUCAUCAAUAGCGUCCUUCCCUCCAUCAAGCCACGGUGUUGGAACACUCUUUUCUUUGACCUUUAAAAAAGGGCAAGUGAAGAUUUAUGGUGUUGUCCAUCCAGAAUCUCGCCGUCAUCCAGCAAAAGAGCCUCACCCCAGUUUUCCAGGUGAACAUUUUUUCCCUUCAUUUUCUGCACCACGCUGAUCAUGGAACUUUCUGGGCUACAUCUGCAAUGUGUUCUCCUCCUCGACACUUAGAGGAUCCACAGUUACUCCAAAUCCUUUGCCUUGCAUGCCUUGAAAAAUAUGUAGCAUUUAUUGUUGUUUAUAGAGAUACGACCGUACAUUUGCAAAGCACAGCUCUGAAGGUUUCAAAUAUUCUCUUUUCUCACAAAUAUUCUGUUUUGUUGCAAUCUCUUAAAAGUUGCAUGAGAUGGUUGAUGCAAAUGUAAAUAAAGUGAGGUACAGGAAUGUCACGAGUUGUAUUUUUAGAGCAUAAGGUUAGUUUGUGGUGGAGCUGGGACCAGAAUCUGGCGUGAAAACAAAUGAGGAGAGAGUCCGCUUUGGUCAGGGACCUUAAAACUGCUCUUCCUGAGGGUCCAGAGGCUUCGAUUCCCAUGUCAUUUAUUUAACGGGUGGCUGCCCCAAUUUCCACACCCGUGAGAUAGGGAUAAAAAUUGCCCGAUAAGGGUACGUGUAAGAGAAUAAAAUGAAAUAAUUAUGCAAAAGUGCUUUCAUAACAGAGAGGAAUGUACGAAUGCAAGCUUAAUCUAGUAUUGGAAAGCUGGUUGAUUACCUGAGUUAUGGUCCAUGAAUUCUAGCUUCUGUUCUGAUUUUUUUCCUGAUGAGAGAGACCUCCACAUUUUAUAGGUUUUUCUUGAACUUUUUAAAGCGUUUUUCAAGUUGAUGGUUUAUAGUCAGUGAGUCAGUCAGUCCUACCAUUUCUUUUAAAAUAGCAGCAUGGCAUCGGCCCAGAUCGGACUGGGAGGGCUUCCUGCCUGUGUUCUUGUUCACUGCCUGAAUAACUGCAGAGGCCCUCAAAUGCUCUCCUACCUUUGGCCUGUCCUCCAGUGUCAGAAUUUUCAUUCUGAAACUCAAGUCUGAUGCCACUCCAGGACAGAGAAACCAUCAAUGGCUCCCUGUUGCCCCUUAGUUCCUGGUUCUUGGUUCUUUUCAGCCAGGCCCCCCUCUCCUCUUCUUCUGUGCCCUAGUGUAGGACCCUUUGCGCAUUCCGUCUCCCAUACUGUUGGGGUCUGCUUAGGCUGCUUCCCUGUAAAGCCUUUCCUGGCCACACAAUCCAUUCUGCUUCUCUCUCUGCUCCCAGAAACUCGGAACAAAGUUGGUUCUUUACAUUUCUGUCUUUCCUUUUAGCUCCCAAGGGUGGGGACUGCGGCUCAUUUCUCUCCUUCUAGCCUCCCCAGUUCUUGACAUUUAGAGAGGGCUCCACGAAUACCGGCUGAAUGAAUGAAGAUCUACACAUCUCAUAGCAAGGUCAUCCUAAGAUGGUUUCUGUCCAGAGAGUUCUUUGGCCCUCUGGGAAGGCACACCUGAGAACCACCAGGGCUGGCAUUUUUAUAGCCUCAUUCCCAGCGGCGUCAGGCACAGAGGACUGAGACGUUGAUCCUUCGAUGAAGGGUUUUUGCUAACUCACCACGUACUAGGUCUCUGAGUUUCUGUGCGUUACGUGCCUGUGAUUCUCUUUGGGGGCCUCCAGCCCACGCAGUGUGACCACAACCAACUCUUUGUUGUAGUUGAACGGGCUGCCCGCUUCUGUUGUGGUUUUAUCUUUGUGUGGCCUGCACUCGGCCAUAACUUCUGGGAGAAGCUAGAACGCUUGGUCACUGCAGAAGCCUUCCACAGAUAAGACUUAGCUUGGGAGUUAUCUGAAGGUGGCGGUCAUCUGUCGUACUGCUCCGGACAGCUGACGCUCCGUGAACCCUCACCCGGGACCACAUUAAUGAGCCGAAGGCGAUGAAUGGCAUCGCUAAACGAUCACUGUGGUGGUGGCAUUAUUAUGACCAUCGUUCCCAUUUGACUGUGGAAGGCAUGGGCACUCAUAUUUGCAGCGACCAAGCAACAGCACUGGGACUCCCAAGUCAGAUCUGUCUGACCCCAGAGCCCUGACUCAGCUCGUACCGCAUUCCGUCUCCUUCUUUGCCUGCGGUGAACCUUAGAGUCCGCCAGCCCUCGGGUUCUUAUCUUUCAGCCUGCAAAGGCAGGAGCGUGAGCUCGGUUGUGAGUCACACACAUCAGACCCCGUUCCAGGCAGUACUGACCCAGCAAGGGUGCGGCCGCGGCCCGUUCUAUGGGAGCACCUCUGUUUUUGCUACUGCCAGCCAUUUACUGCUGGACCCUCUUUCUGUCGCGUCCUGGUGAUUACCGCGCCACCUGCCAGCUUCGGUCCUCUGACCCUCCUCCCUCGGGGGUUCUCAACCCUCACCGUACUUUGGAAUGGCCGGGGAAGCUUUACAACAGAAUGCCCGGCCCUACCCCCAGAGGUUCCAUUCGGUCAUUCCGGCUUGGGGUCCGGGUAUUAAUCUUUCUGAAACCACCUUGGGAUGUCAUAGAAUUCGCACGUUUUAAGUGCAACACUCGGUGAUUUCUUUCUUUCUUUUCCUUUUUUAAUGUUUAUGUUUAUUUUUGA